UACGUACUCCCUCCGUCCGGAAAUACUUGUCAUCAAAAUGAAUAAAAGGGGAUGUAUCUAGAUGUAUUUUAGUUCUAUAUACAUCCAUUUUUGUCCAUUUUGAUGACAAGUAUUUUCGGACGGAGGGAGUAACAA
rnacentral:pre_miRNA from 1 species